GGCGGCGAUGGCGGCGACGAGGAGCGGGAGCGAGACGGAGGCGAGGGCGUCGGGGGAGGCGGCGGCGGCGGCCUCGACGAGGCUGAGGAGGCCGAGGUCCUCGGCCUUGGAGAGGAGGCCGAGCUCCUCGAGCGAGGAGAGCGUGACGCCGAGCUCCUCCGCCCUGGACAGCAGCCCGGCCUUCUCCACCGUGCUCAGCACCUUCCGCCUCUCCAGCUUCUUGAACACGUCCACCUCCACCUCCUCGC
rnacentral:misc_RNA from 1 species